AUGGAAUUCGCCGGGCCAAGCCUGCGCAAGGUCCUCAACAAGCGAAUCCGUCUCGGUCGCCGGCUGUUCUCGGAGAGGGACGUGCGCUCCAUCGUGCGGCAGCUGCUGGCCGGCGCGGAGGCGAUGCACACGCACGGCAUCAUGCACUGCGACAUCAAGCCUGAGAACAUCCUCGUGGUCCAGCACGGCGGCAGCAUCGUCGUCAAGAUCGGAGACUACGGGGCGGCGAUGUCCACGGCCGAGCGGGACCCCGACAAGUAUUGGGCUGCUGGGACGUGGGCGUACAGCGCGCCGGAGAUGCUGCUGGAGGAUCCCCGCUACGACACGCGCGUCGACCUGUGGUCCAUCGGCUGCGUGAUGGCGGAGCUCCUCACCGGGAACAAGCUGUUCCCAGGGGACGGCAUAGACGAGCUGCUCUACAAGAUCUUCGAUCUGCUUGGCACGCCAGGCGAGAGAGAGUGGUGGCCUGCCUUCGGUUCGCCGGGACACGAGGUACAGGAACCGCUAUGGCGAGCGCACCAACGGCUGCGCAAGCUGUUCCCCAAGAAGCUGCUGUCCAAGGAAGGGUUCCAGGUCCUCCAGGGGCUCCUCACGUGCGAUCCAUCCAGGCGGCUGGAUGCUGCCGCCGCGCUCCGGCUUCCGUGGUUCACGGACACCGGCGGCAUGCCGGUUGCCGCUGUUCCGGAGACUGGCGCUCUGAAGCCGCUGAGCUCUGUCAAAUAA
rnacentral:rRNA from 1 species